ACUGAGCUCUAGUGUCUGGUGUCAGCGACAGGGCCGGAGGGAACGGCAUGGAGCCAUGUCACGGGAAGGGCAGGGACAGGUUCUGCACCAGAGGGUGUUAUGGCCCUUGAAUAGGCUGCCCAGGGCAGUAGUCACAGCCCCAAGCUGUUGGAGUCCAAGAAAUGUCUGCACAGUGCUCUCAGACAUGGGGUUUGAGUUUUGGGUCUUUCUGUGAGGAGCCUGGAGUAGGACUUGCGGGUCCUUGAUGAUCCUUGUGGGUCUCUUCUAACUUUGGGUAUCCUGAUUCUGCAAUUUUGUGAUUUUAUUCAGCCUCCUGUUGAUAUUUUGUCCUAGUGCUCACAUAUGUAACAUCACAGUGAUGUAAUUCUUGUGUUUACAGAGUCGUUUAUGGCCUUGACACCCAUGGUACAUCUUCACCGUUGACCAGCCAGCUUCAGGCUGGUCUCAGGCACUGUGGUUGUUUUGCUGGAGCCAAUGAGCCCAAGUCCCUGCUGCUGCUCUUAGCUCAACUCCAGGACUAAGGCAAAUAAGGAUACAUCCAGUACUUACUCCCUGCUUUUACAUAUGCAAAAGGAGUGCAAUAAUGUAGUGUCUUUAUUAUCCUUAAUUAUCUGGUAUAAAAAGUUUAGGUCUUUUUUCCUCUUUGUUUUUUUAUUAUUAUUAUGUUUGGAAAUACGCAUGGUUGACCAUUUCUGUAACAGCAAAGAAGAAAGGUAAGGAAGGAGUUCACGGAUUCUUCUAAUGGCCACUCUGCUUGGAGAAGAACCACCCAAUCCCAGAUCUGUGCCCUGAGUCCUACCACCCAUACCGUACCUGGAGGUCUGCAGAGUCUGAAGUUUCCAUGUUGAUACUGCAACUUGCCCCCUCUUGUAACUUCAUGCAUAGCUCAAGAGAAAGGCCUGCUUUGAGUCGAGAACUGGAAAAUCAACUUGAUGUUGUAUUUGACCUCCUUGAUUCUUGGAGAGGAGGCCUGAGUUCUCCCACUGAGUGGACCGUUGACGUCCUGGGGGAGCUGUGGGGUCUCAUUGCCUUUGGUUGCUGUGGCUGGCACUGGCUUGGCUGUGCCUUUCAUCAGAUGGCUUCAGAGGUUCUCUCCUGCACCCUGCCCUAUCCCUGUGCUUUUGACACAUUCAGGGACAAAGUUGGAGUUCCCACCAACCCCACUGAAGGCUCUGCAAUGUACUGCAUCUCCCACUUAGAUGAAUGCUCAUCGUUUUGGCUGGUGAAUGGGAAGAUUUCAAAAUGAAGGGUGAGGGCCAUCCAUACCUGGGGAAUUCAGCUGGACCCCAGGAGCAGAGAGGACUGUGGCUGCAUACCUCCAGGCUGAGAAGGAAGCUCAACACAGAUUUUGCCUUUCCCAGUGAAGUCUUCUCUCACAGACUCGUGAGAUAGGGUUGUGUAUGUGAAGAAUUACGGACUUCCAUGGGUGCUGAGCACAGCUGGCUCCAGAAUUGUCAGAGAUCAGCACCAGUUUAGAUGUCAAAGGACAAAAGGCAAAGAACUGACAUCCAUCUUCAGAUUUCCAAAAAAUAUUUUGCAAGCAACUGGCCUUCUAGAUCCUGGUGGGUCCCAGCUUCCCAGGCUCUCUCCUCAGAUCCAGCUGCUUGCUUCUAGUAAGAAGAGGAAGGCGGAAUAUCAGUGAAAUACUCCCUGAAAUAACAAGAGGUAUGGUU
ensembl:lncRNA